GUUAUGUUUUCCUGGAGAAUUGCCAACAAAUGACUAUUCUUCCCAGAUUGGGAACUGACAACAGACCAAAGCAGGAGGAGCUAAGAGAUGACAUGAAAGAUGUAUUAGACGGCUUACUGUCCUCUUAACAAGGCUUUGGACACAUCAACAUAUUGACCAUCAACUAAUGGGUUGUUUGCUUAAAUUUGAGGACAACCAGAGCACCUACAAGUGAUACAGUAACAAUUUAAGAAAUACUUCCUGGUUGCUGCCGCUGCAGAGAGCCCAUGGGCAGCACCCCACGAGCGAACUUGAGCCUCGGGACCACAGGUAAGACCAACUUUUCUGCUGCAAGAAAGCUGCCUGGUGAGCUCGGGACACACGGAGGCAGAAUUCCUCUAGGACCGGGCACGUCCUGUGUUUACCGGAAGUCCCACACCCGCGGAUCCCUGCCCGUAGCAUCUCUCUGCUCCCAGACCUACUGAGAGAGAGACCCAACGGCCUGGUCAGGUGGGCACUCCUGAGGCUGCAGAGCAGAAGAGACCACCAACACUGCCCACCCCUGCCCACAUCCCUGGCCCAAGAGGAAACUGUAUAAGGCCUCUGGGCUCCCGUGGGGGAGGGCCCAGGAGCGGCAGGAUCCCUACCUGAGACACUGCCCGAACCUGAAGGAAACAGACCUGAUAAACAGUUCUCUGCACCCAAAUCCCGUGGGAGGGAGAGCUAAACCUUCAGAGAGGCAGACAAGCCUGGGAAACCAGAAGAGACUGCUCUAUGCACACACAUCUCGGACGCCAGAGGAAAACACCAAAGGCCAUCUGGAACCCUGGUGCACUGAAGCUCCCGGAAGGGGCGGCGCAUAUCUUCCUGGUUGCUGCCACUGCAGAGAGCCCGUGGGCAGCACCCCAUGAGCGAAUUUGAGCCUCGGGACCACAGGUAAGACCAACUUUUCUGCUGCAAGUGACCUGCCUGGUGAACUCAAGUCACAGGCCCACAGGAACAGCUGAAGACCUGUAGAGAGGAAAAACUACAAGCCCGAAAGCAGAACACUCUGUCCCCAUAACUGACUGAAAGGGAGGAAAACAGGUCUACAGCACUCCUGCCACACAGGCUUAUAGGACAGUCUAGCCACUGUCAGAAAUAGCAGAACAAAGUAACACUAGAGAUAAUCUGAUGGCGAGAGGCAAGCACAGGAACCCAAGCAGCAGAAACCAAGACUACAUGGCAUCAUCGGAGCCCAAUUCUCCCACCAAAACAAACAUGGAAUAUCCAAACACACCAGAAAAGCAAGAUCUAGUUUCAAAAUCAUAUUUGAUCAUGAUGCUGGAGGACUUCAAGAAAGACGUGAAGAACUCCCUUAGCGAAACGCAGGAAAACAUUAAUAAACAAGUAGAAGCCUACAAAAAGGAAUCGCAAAAAUCCCUGAAAGAAUUCCAGGAAAACAGAAACAAACAAGUAGAAGCACAUAGAGAGGAGACACAAAAAUCCCUGAAAGAAUUCCAGGAAAACACAAUCAAACAGUUGAAGGAAUUAAAAAUGGAAAUACAAGCAAUCAAGAAAGAACACAUGGAAACAACCCAGGAUAUAGAAAACCAAAAGAAGAGACAAGGAGCUGUAGAUACAAGCUUCACCAACAGAAUACAAGAGAUGGAAGAGAGAAUCUCAGGAGCAGAAGAUUCCAUAGAAAUCAUUGACUCAACUGUCAAAGAUAAUGUAAAGCGGAAAAAGCUACUGGUCUAAAACAUACAGGAAAUCCAGGACUCAAUGAGAAGAUCAAACCUAAGGAUAAUAGGUAUAGAAGAGAGUGAAGACUCCCAGCUCAAAGGACCAGUAAAUAUCUUCAACAAAAUCAUAGAAGAAAACUUCCCUAACCUAAAAAAAGAGAUACCCAUAGACAUACAAGAAGCCUACAGAACUCCAAAUAGA